rnacentral:rRNA from 1 species
UACGUAGGGCGCAAGCGUUGUCCGGAAUUAUUGGGCGUAAAGAGCUCGUAGGCGGUCUGUCACGUCUGCCGUGAAAACCCGAGGCUUAACCUCGUGGCUUGCGGUGGAUACGGGCGGACUAGAGGUAGGUAGGGGAGAACGGAAUUCCCGGUGUAGCGGUGAAAUGCGCAGAUAUCGGGAGGAACACCGGUGGCGAAGGCGGUUCUCUGGGCCGUUACUGACGCUGAGGAGCGAAAGCGUGGGGAGCGAACAGG